rnacentral:rRNA from 1 species
UACACUGGUGGCGACCGGCGCACGGGUGAGUAACACGUGUGCAACCAACCCCGUACCGGGAGAUAACCCGCGGAAACGUGGACCAACAUCCCAUGAGACUCUAGAUCCGCAUGGCUCUAGAUUUAAAAUUCCGGUGGUACGGGACGGGCACGCGCGACAUUAGGUAGUUGGCGGGGUAAGGGCCCACCAAGCCGACGAUGGAUAGGGGUUCUGAGAGGAAGGUCCCCCACAUUGGAACUGAGACACGGUCCAA